rnacentral:rRNA from 1 species
GAUGAACGCUGGCGGCGUGCCUAAUACAUGCAAGUCGAGCGAACAGACGAGGAGCUUGCUCCUCUGACGUUAGCGGCGGACGGGUGAGUAACACGUGGAUCACCUACUUAUAAGACUGGGAUCACUUCGGGAAACCGGAUCUAAUACCGGAUAAUCUCUUGAACCGCAUGGUUCAAUAGUGAAAGACGGUUUUGCUGUCACUUAUAGAUGGAUCCGCGCCGCAUUAGCUAGUUGGUAAGGUAACGGCUUACCAAGGCAACUAUGCGUAUCCGACCUGCGAGGGUGAUCGGCCACACUGGAACUGGGACACGGUCCAGACUCCUACGGGAGGCAGCAGUAUGGAAUCUGCCGCAAUGGGCGAAAGCCUUACGGAGCAACGCCGCGUGAGUUAUGAAGGUCUUCGGAGCGGAAAGCUCGGUUAUUAGGGAAGAACAAAUGUGUAAGGAACUAAGCACGUAGUGACGGUACCGAAUCAGAAAGCCACGGCUAACUACGUG